rnacentral:rRNA from 1 species
AGUGAACGCUGGCGGUAGGCCUAACACAUGCAAGUCGAACGGCAGCACAGGAGAGCUUGCUCUCUGGGUGGCGAGUGGCGGACGGGUGAGGAAUACAUCGGAAUCUACUCUGUCGUGGGGGAUAACGUAGGGAAACUUACGCUAAUACCGCAUACGACCUACGGGUGAAAGCAGGGGACCUUCGGGCCUUGCGCGAUUGAAUGAGCCGAUGUCGGAUUAGCUAGUUGGCGGGGUAAAGGCCCACCAAGGCGACGAUCCGUAGCUGGUCUGAGAGGAUGAUCAGCCACACUGGAACUGAGACACGGUCCAGACUCCUACGGGAGGCAGCAGUGGGGAAUAUUGGACAAUGGGCGCAAGCCUGAUCCAGCCAUACCGCGUGGGUGAAGAAGGCCUUCGGGUUGUAAAGCCCUUUUGUUGGGAAAGAAAUCCAGCUGGCUGAUACCCGGGUGGGAUGACGGUACCCAAAGAAUAAGCACCGGCUAACUUCGUGCCAGCCGCCGCGGUAA